GAAGGCGAUCUAGUGUUUCAUUGGGUAAACUGGUGGAUCGGGGCGGAGCGGGACCAAGUUGGGAAUAUUUACAGGACUCGGUACCCGUCUUUGGGAGUUGCAGUUAAGAAAUUGCAUGAAUCUCAGAAGAGACUUUGAACUUUGAAGAAUUGUUGAGACUGUGAUAAGACUAUGGGGACUUUUGAAGUUGGACUAAGUUUAUGUUUUCAUUAUAACAUGGCUAGGUAUUGGUGUUCCAGACUACUUUUAACCCAUGAAGAUAAUGUAGUCCUUCAUCCACUUGAUUAUAUUACAUAUUGUUUGUGGCUCGAUCAAAGUAAUUACCUUUACCUGGACUGCCAACCAACACUUGGCUCCUGAUACUUUUCUGUGUCCUAAGGUAAGUUUGGAGGAGACAGUUGCAUGGAUACUACUCUGGGUGAAAAACCAGAAAACAGGUUGGUCUGCCAGAGAGUGAAACAUCUGUGGGACAAUGCCAGUGUGGCUACCUUCCCCAUGUGGUAUGGGGUAUAGCGUCUUCUUGCUGUAGUGACAGUUGUAUGCUUACUCUAACAGGUUAUAAGAAUUGCAGCCAAUGCCAAACCAACAGAGGAUAGAGUGUGAUUAGAUGGAAUUUCAGGUGUCCAUCCUCUGCUAUGUAUUAGUCGGUGUGUGCCUCUUUGAUGAAUGAGGUCUGCUACCUGCAUGCAGGAGUAUACUCCAAAAGAAUGAUUGUCAUUCACACUAUAACAUCUGGAAUUAGCAUGUAUAGGAUGGGAUCAUAUGUAGGCUGUGGCAAUUGUGUGAUUUUGCUGUGAGUGAUAAUAUAUGCAACCAAGGCCCAAAAAGAAACUGACCCAUAAAAGAAUUACAGGGGGAUAGGAAGACGGCUCAGCUGUUAAGAGCACUAGCUUCUCUUUCAGAGGACCCAGGUUCAGUACCCAUGUGGUGUCUCAUAACAUUUGUUACUCUGCUUCCAAGGGAAUCAAUAUAAUACUAUUCUGAUUUUCAUAGACACUGCACAAUACACUUAUAUGCAUGCAGGCAAACACACACAGGCACAGACACACAGACACCCCCCCCCCAAUGAAUUAAAUAAAAAUAAAACAAGACUUAUAAGUAAGGAAGGUAUGUGGAAACUAUCCUUAUUAUUGGCUUCUGAUUUGGCAGGAAAUGUGGGG